UUGGAAGAAAAUUUAAAAGAAUGAAAGAAUUAGAAAUAAUUAUUCAAAAAGAAUGAAAGAAUAUUAGCUAAAAAAGGAAUGCAAAGAUGUAUUUUAUUAGAUUAAUGACGUUCAGACAUUAGCCUAUUUCACAAAGGAAUUUCUAUCGCUUUAGGCUAAAAACAACAAAAAUGUUCUGAACAUUACUCUAAAUAAGCCCUGAUAACUAUAGGGAUUUCUUCCACAAGCUAAUUGCUUAAAACACUUCAGAUUUAUAAGGGC
rnacentral:lncRNA from 1 species